AUACUUACCUGGACAGGGUCAAUGGGCGAUCAAGAGGGCCCAUGGCCUAGGUUGGUGACCUCCAUUGCACUCAGGAGGGGUGCCAGUCUAUGGUCUCCCCAACGUAGGAGAGCCAAUGUCAUAAUUUGUGCUAGCGGGGGCCUGCGUUCGCGCAGCCCCUGA
rfam:Prunus persica cultivar Lovell chromosome G1, whole genome shotgun sequence.